ACUUUGUUAUUUGUGUACCAUAUUUGAAUAACUAUUCAAACACUGGCCGGAUUUUUAUGUCUGUCAGCACCAAGGCCAAGGCACAAGAUGAACAGACGCUGACACAAGAGAAUGCUUCGGGCGAAGGGCGCCAACAGGAAGAUGAAGGAAGGCACGUGAGAAUCAAACGUCACAACAUUCGUUUGAGCGGGCCGAAGUGGGUCGUGUAAUUGUUAUGGGCCAGGCUGCGUCCGCCCAGUAGUUCGGUAGCCUUUUAUAUACUUGUAGCGUGAACUGGAGAGGUAUCACCUAAUAGAACUGAUAAACAACAUCCCUACCGUAUCUUCUUCUCCAAUCUUCCUCUACCUCUUCUCCACGCCAAAUCGUGGUCGCGUUAGUCAUCUCGUCGGCGAGGUCGCCAACACCUGGUAUCAGAAUCGGCAUCCUAGAUCCGCUCAGAGCUAUUCCCCGUCGACCCCGAUCCACUGCCAUGGGAACACCUACGCUGCCACACGCAAGGUGCUCGAAGAAAUACAGCUCAUGGAAGCUCGCCUCACGGAGAGGGUUGCGGGCUGUUGCCACGAUAUUCAACAACGGGUGGAGCAACGGUGCGAUGAAAUUCACCAACAUUUCACACAUCGUUGCGACACCAGCCAUCAACAGGUCGACCUCGCCGCGCUGCGCGGUGAGGAACGACUUCUGUCACUGGAACUGAUUAAGACUGACAUCAACAUCUUGAAGCCAGAGGUCAUGAAGAAGGUGGAGGACUUAUCGCUGGAGAUGGCAAGGGUUGGCAAGUUCCUGGAACGGGAAUUUCGACCUCUCGUCUUCAACCAGUCGGGCAUCUUUGGUCCAUACCCGUCGGCGUCCGCGCGUCCGCCUGCCUGAUUCCACCAUGCUGACGGACCGUUUGGACGUCGCCCUGAACUGCAUCAUCGGGAUCGUGAGUCCAGGUCGCAAGGAGCCCUGACUCAUAUCCCGGUCAAGGGUACGUUCUCCACGCACCCUUCUCGUCUCUCAGGGUUUAUGGCUGAGCAAUGUUAUCCACGUGAGUCACCUAGAGAGUUGCUACGACCAUCUAUGGGUAGAUUACCUAAGCUCAACUUCCCACAAUUUGACCGAUCUCACCCUAAGCUAUGAAAGUUCAAAUGUGAAAAAUACUUUGAGAUGUAUGAGAGCGAGUACUUUAUGUGGGUGAAAGUUGCCACAAUGCACUUUGAGGGUCAUGUGGCACGUUGGUUACAAGUUGUCGAACACACUUUAGGCCUAGUGUCCUUGGAGGAUUUUGUAGCCCGGUUCAUGAGCACUUCGGUCACGAGCAACACGAGUCCCUAAUCCAUCAGAUGUUUCACAUUAGGUAGUCGGGGUCAGUUUCUGAUUAUGUGGAGCAAUUUGUGUUUCUAGUUGAUGAGUUAGCUGCCUAUGAGUCUCGUACUGAUCCUAUCUAUUAUACAAUAUGGUUUGUUGACGAGCUUAAACAUGAGAUUAAAUUUGUCGUUAUGGUACAAUGUCCUCCAAACCUCGAUGCUGCUUCCGCUCUCGCCCUUGUGCAGGAGGAGGCAUUUAACCUGACACAUCAUCGCGCAUGGUGAGCCUAUUUCCACCUGAACGGCUUGGCCACAUUCUACUCCAGCAACAGACGCCAGUCCUGCUGACAAAGGCGCCGGUCCACCUGAACCACUUCACCUAGAUACUCAUAGUGUUGGUUCUUCAUCUGACCAGGUGGCUUCUCUGAAGAGCUAUAGGCAUGCGAGGGGCCUAUGCGAUCGUUGUGCCGAGAAGUGGUUCCCAGGCCACAAAUGCCCAAGUACAAUGGAGUUACAAGUAAUUGAAGGUUUGGGAUAUGUUAGAGGAAGAGCAGGUGGCUGAACCAGCAGUGGAAUCAUGAGAGCAGACAUUGAUGGCUUUGUCAAUUGCAGCUUGGAUAAGUGAGAAAUGGCGACCAAUGUUGUUGGGCGUUCAAUAGUUAUCAUGGAGGCUAGCAGUCAAAGUGGCAAAUGAUCAAAUGUUACAUUGUGUCCAUCAAUUGACCAAGGCUAAAUGGUAUAUGUCUGACUACAAAUUUAGAUUGGAUCUCAUCUUUUUGCCGCUGCUAUCAGUUGAUCUCGUGGUGGGCAUGGACUGAUUGCAAGCUUAUAGUCCAAUGAAGGUUGAUUGGUAUAACAAAUGGAUGGCCAUCCAUACCAAGGUCACACUGUAUAUGUUUACAAGGCGUCCAGUCGUCCUUACCUACAAGACCUAUGUUUGAGCUACGUUUGUCAAUGGGUAAUUCUAGGACUGGACAAAAUUAGGUCAGUAAGGAGGAAACAAUCGACCCACGCAUUCAGCCACAUUCGUUUGAGCGGGCCGAAGUGGGUCGUGUAAUUGUUAUGGGCCAGGCUGCGUCCGCCCAGUAGUUCGGUAGCAUUUUAUAUACUUAUAGCGUGAACUGGAGAGGUAUCGCAUAAUAGAACUGAUAAACAACAUCCCUACCGUA